UAUAUUUUUGGGAUUUCCAGUUUACCCCGUGCUGCUCCUUUACUACAGCAGACAGAAACUGGAGUUUCCGAACUGGUAUUGUUGGACAGGGCAGUUCAUAUUUUCCAGUUUGUAGUCUAAGCUGUCCCUUGAGUCUUGAGACAAUUGACUUUAAAAGGCCUUUUAACUGCAGAAGUCUAAAUGGGAGUAGAAAAUAAGUUUGCAGUUCUGUUCAGCAAAGUCCCCAUAUAAACAUCAGUCAGUCCUCAACCUGACAAGAAAAGGCUUUUGCUGUGUGGACAGUUUUCUGCAGCAUUAGUCCAAUGUUCACCUCAGGGGUUAGCAGAUGGCUCUGGGGCGACAUGAAAGUAGUAAAGGGAGAGAAAAACAAGUUUUUGUCACUUCCUGAUAGUUUGCCAGAGUCCAUCCUGGUCUUCAUAUCUGUGUGGGGAGUGCUGGGGUAGAAAAUUCAAUCCACGGACUUCUCUACCUGUUUCCUAUCUCUGUCCAUGUGAUAUUUUACAGAGGAAGAAUUCAAUUGAGUUUGAGAUCUUGUAGAAAAGGAAAAAAUUCAGAUAAGGUGCUACUUAAAUCUUUUGUUUCAGCAUUUAGUGAGACUUAGAUAUUUCCAAAAUAAAACAAAAAAUUAAAAAAAAAAAUCACUGAGUUCUUGUUUUCCAGUGACUUCAGGCCUGUGGUGUUUGAUCUGUUCUGUUCUGGCUCCAUUGUUACCCAUGGAGAAAACAGUAGUUGACAGCUUAAAAAACUUAGCUUGUUGGAGUUUUUUUUCCUUUCAGUGAAGUUCCUUUUGUGCUUUGUCAUUAAGCAGCAUGGGGCAAUUUUUUGUGGUUUAGAUUUUGCUGCAGGGGCUAUAGAAACGGGUGGGGAUAGGAAUGUGUGGAUUAAGAAUUUCGCCCUGGAAAAAGCUUCUCAGUGGCACAGAACUGGAAGAUACUAGGAAGAUAUAGCAGGAUGAUGUGCUCCCUUAGGGAGAUGGUAUGCUGGAGGCACGGCUUAGAACAGCUCCAGUCCAGCUGGGCAGCAAGCUCCCUCUCUGACUCCAGUGCUGUCCCUGGCUUUUAGGCAUCCUCCCUUCUCUGCUUUGUGUGUGGCUGCACUGCUGAGGGAAUGUAGCCUUGUAUUUCCCUGCAGCAGGCUGUGGAUGGCACACAAAGGAGUGUUUGAGAGCUUCACCAGGUGUGUGUAUUGUUUCCAGAUACGCUCUGGAAAGGCUUAACAGCUGGGCCUGUUCCCACCUCCUUCCUGGCUGAGAUGAUUGGAUGCUAACUCAAAUACUUGCAAGCACACACUUACCAGGUGCUGGCCUCCAGCUAUCAUCUGCCCUCAUGCAGUAAUAAGAUGGUAGCAUAAAAAAUUUCAAGCAGUAAACACAUGUGGAGGGAGACAUUUUGCACAGCAGUAGGCAAGCAUGUCCCAAACAGAACUCCAGUAAAAAGUGAGACAGAAACCAGCAGUGCCUUCCCUUUUCACAACAGUUGGUAUUGUGUUUGUUGUGAUUAGGAUCACCUAAAAAAACUUUUCAGCAUGUUUUCCUGUACAGCUGUUCAUAUCUGCCCCAGCAAGAGGGACUUAACACAUUUGGAAAAAUCAAUAGACUUCAGCUGCAGGGGGAAGGGGCAUGGGCUGGCUUUUGCACUGAGCCCUUUAGAGACCUUAUUUAUCUAGUGGCAUGAGAUGUGCAAGAGGAAAAUAACUGUUACAUGAUUCUUGUGCCUUGCCAGAGUCCAAAGCAGGAAAUGCCGUAAUUACAGCGGUUCUGUGUAGUUGCCUGGAUUAGAAAGGUAACUCUUAAACCAUGGUAGAUGUUUUUGAACUUGUUGAAAGCGGUUUCCGGCAUGCAGUUUGAUGUGAUUGUUGCUCUCCCUUCAGGGCAGGAGGACAAAAAUGUGAACAUUUUUUGUUCAUAUAGUUAGUUGUUAUCGCUAUGAGUUGUGGUAUAAAUAGGAAAAUUAAGAUUAUGUGUAACUAUAAUACUGAACUGGGCUGACAGGAACUUAUGUUCUAUAGACUAAAAUGUCGCUAAAAAGGGGAUAUUCUUUACUUUGCAACAUGUGGUGAAAUCCAGGACCUGUUUAUUCUUUGGAGGCAAUUUAAAAGCAAAAAAAAUCCCCCAAAUGCAGGUGUUCCAUUACUGCUAGUAGAGCUUUAAAGAUACUUUAUUACUUGGAGCAUUCCAUGCAGAAAAUUAGUUUUCUAGCUCACUUGGGAGGCAGGAGCUCUGCUGUUUGCCUUCCUUUGGCACAUACUGUAUUCUUGACCAUGCUUAUUUGAAUCUUGGGGCUGACAGCAAAGAUGUCCUCCUAUCUACUGACUUGGUUAAAAUAUUGACUGAACUUUGUGUCCUGUUUCCAACAGUAGCUCAUGACAGAUGAUUAGGAAACAGCUUAAGAAUUGGAAGAUCUGUAGUGUAAUCCUUGCACUGGGACACCUUGUUAACUUCUGGCAGAAGUACCUAGACCAUCAUAUAUAAUAGCUCCUGAUUGAUCUGUCUCCAUUAAUUUGGUGAGUCCCUUUAUGAAUGAAUUUAUAGUAUUGUUCUUCAAAGUUGUCAUGGCAGUUGAAUUUCCAGCACAGCGAUGCCUUGUGAGGAGGCAGUUCCGCCUGUGUCAUCCUCUGUAGCACCUUCCCACAAACAAACCUGUCUUGGAUUGAACCUCCCCUUUCAAUUCAGUCUGGUGUCAGACAUGUCAAAACUACCACUUAACAGAGGAGGUGGAGAUACUUGUCUUUGCUUUAGGUUUUGGGUUUUUUUAAAAAACCUAUGCUCUCUACCAAUCCCAUUUACGGUUUAGCUUGCAUAUUUUGUUGGGUUUUCAGUUGUUGAAUACUGGAAACCUGGUUAACAACUUCAUUUCUUCCACCUAGGGCAAUGCAAACAGCGCAGUUACAGUAUGUAAAUAAAAGUAUUGCAAUUUAGCAGACUAUGUUGUAGAAAGGAUGGAAUUACAGAAGCAGAAAAUCUGUUUUUCAAAUUAAAAAAAGAAAGGGGCAACUCCUGAUAAUUAGUACAACUUUUCCAAAGUAGUUCUGUCUGCCUUUCUCCAAGUCUACCUCACCUUAUAAAGCAGACCAGGGGUGUUUCAAAUGCAAGCUUUAUUUUUUGACCCUAGUAAUAGUUAGAUCAUUAAGCCCAGAUGUCACUUGGCAAAACUAUCUGUAGGUACUGUGGGCUUUUCACUUUGCUGCUGCUGUAAAUCCUCUUUCAUUUAAAAGUAAGCAAAUACAAAUGGUGUAUAUUUGUAGGGGAACCCUCUCUCCUGUACUCCAUCCUCUUGUGUUAACUAUUUUAAAGCAGCUCCAUGGGUUCCCAAUUACUUUAGGAACCUUGUGCUCUAAUAAAUGAAACAGCCAUAAACAAAGCCAGCUUAAUCUCGUCACGUCAGGCAUUUUGCCAUGGGAAGUCAUCGUUAGCUGGCUCAACUCUGUCAAAUUGAAGAGGUACUGAGAGAGAGAGAGAUGACCCAUCAUGUAAACUCAUCUUUCUCUGUCGUGGUGAGAGAGCUUUAUACAUUGCCCUCUCUCUGGGCUCUGCAGACCAGGAACCACACUAACUCGACCAGCAGGACCCUGUUUGCAACUCUGCAGUAUGAGGUGUAUUUCCAUGGAGCAACAUCUCCUUGGGUGAGUACGUGCCUGUGUCUUCAGGUUGCCUCCUUCCAGAGUUCAGACUCCUUCCUCCAUAAAAAAAUGCUUCACAGGCUUUUGAGGUAGCUACAGUAGCUUGCUCUUUUAAAGCUGACCUUCAAAGGAAUAAAUGCUGUCAGCAUGUUUGAGGAGGUCCUGAUUACUUUUUCUUUCUUUUCUGCUUGUUCUUUAUGUCACUGAUUAAGAUCUUGUCUAUCCUGGAUGACAGAGUGGCAGAUCUGGAAAUGUAACAGAAAUGUGAAUUCACAAGAGCAAAACUUGGAUCUGCUUGAGGGUAAAGUUUCUGGAGAGACCUGUAAUGCAGCGGUAAACUCUGCGCACAAGAUUCAAAAGCUGAAUGUGAAAACUGGAUGCUGGUGGUUGUUGCUGAGUCAUGCUGACAGCUCAGCCUGGUUAGCUUUAAUGAAGGUUCAAAGUGGAACAGGGCAUCUUCUUGAGUAAUGAGGUAAGACCGAAGAAGUCCUGCAGGCAGUACCCGUGCUCAGUCUGAUUCCUGCUGAACUUGCUGUGCCUCUGAGCUGACAGUAAGGGAAAGAAUUUGGCUUCUGAUUCUCGGGUUUCUGGUGCUGUAAUUAGGGCUUUGGCUUUUUGGCUCUCUGCAGAGCAGCAUCUUAAAGCAAUCUGAACAGUUCCUUUGCUGUCAGAUAUCACUGGGGUGUAAACAAAUUUUCAUUGACUUCAACGAUGGUGCCCAAAGUUUUACUUUUUAAUUUUUCUUAAAUGUGAUUAGGCACUCUUGCAGUGAAGGCUACCAUUGCUGCCAAGGGAUUCUGGGAACACAUAUAAAAUACAAUUUACAUGUGAGUAAACUACGAAUGGAUGAACUUUCUUUUGAUAACCAGUUAGGUUAGAACUCAAUCGUGCCCUGGAAAGCCAGUGGAAAAGGGACAUGGAACCUCAAGGCAAAAGUAUUUUCUCCCUAAAUCAAUCCUUUGUGGUAUCUGUCACAGGAUGUCCUUUUGCAAAUGUGUGUCCGCCAUAGAAAAUGGCUUAAUGAAAAAGUUGUAUAGCAACAGAUGUUGUUUGUCUUCAGGUGGGUUUACUCAAGGUGCAAAGGAUGUGCUUCCUGUUUUCUGACUUUGUGGGCACGUAUUUGGCUGGGGAAAAAAGAUGCCAUUAGUGUGUGGUAGUUCAUACCCUACCAAGGAUAGAGCUGUUUGCCCUUUCGGUAUGAAUCACCCUGGACUAAGCACUGCAUGAUGCCAAUCAGUUGUUUCAUCCUGUUAGUUCUUGUGAAAAAUAAAGUUUCUUGCUCUCUCACCUGCCUUGCAUUAGUAAUCUGGCCUUGCACAUAAACUAAGAUCACUCCUUUUCUCACGACCAAACAAAGCCCACUUUGAAAGUGCGCAUGACUCCUGCUAGCUCUGACAGCUCUGGUCUGCAGCCCCUGUCAGUUAUUAUUUUGUGAAAGUUCAGGUUUCAAACUCACCUGUCUGCCUGACACUACAAGGUUUCCCUUUGGAUAUAUUCAUUGGAUGUGACUUUAGCUUUAUUUACCACUAGGCUUGUUUUACUGUUCCAAGUAAGGGCUAGCCGCUUCCUAGAGCAGAACGUGUGGUAUUUGUCAGAAGGAGACUGCUUUAAGGCUUCCAGAUAACCUGACCAGCCUGCUCCUCUGUAAACAAUUUUGUGGGCCCUGCUGAUAAGGAUAAAGCAACUGCACUGAAGAUGAUUAGAAGAUGCUGAUAUCUGUAGGGGAGCAGACUAGUACUGCUCUGGCAUAUGACUACCCUUGAAGAAAAGCACUUACAAACUUAUGAACAUUUAUAACAUCUUGUUACUGGUGAUGGCACUGAUCUGCAGUUUUUCUGCUGUCAGUGUAUGCCAUCAAGCCCCAGAUGCUUGUUAUUUUGUUCUGAUCAGAAUCCCUGCAUUGGUUUGCAGGCCCACAAGAAACUCUCUGUGGCUCUUUGCAACAAACUAAAUGAUGAACAAACUCCCUCCAGACCAGUCUGGGUGAUGUUUAUCAAAGGGUUACUCAUAUAGAUCUUGCCUGUACUGGAAAAGGUAUUAUACCCCUAGAAUGAGGCAGCUGGAUCCAUGGAGCUGCUGGUUCCCCUAACUGUUCAAUCUUUAUCUGAAAUUGAUUUUAAGCCUUGCAGGAUUUAUAUAAGAUUUUGCAGUUAGGGAUUACGUAGACCUAUGAGGUCAUGCCAGUGACAUUUUGCUUGUUAAAAAUUGUGUUGUAGAUUAGAUUCUAAGGGACUCAAGUAUUUUAAAACUGUCAUUCAACCUUUACAGGUGGACCAAAUUUAUCUGGUGGCCAUGUAUAAUGAAAACCCUGAGAAGAAGAGUGGAGAUCUGUUUUCUCGUUAUAAUGGCAGCAACAGAGAAGUGAUGGCUUUAGGUUAAACCUGUCAGGUUUCACCACUGCAGGCAGGGUAAGGAGAGCAACACCUUCAUCCUUCCAGCAAACCGGCAAAUAGAAAAGCGAAGACUACAAAGCAGAAGAGGCUGAAAGGAGAAUCUGGGGUCUAAGGAGAAGAUGGCUCAAACAGAAGCACUGCGUAUCCUGCAAAUACUUGCUGUGUUGAAGCAUGGGAAGCCAUAAAAGCAGUCUGAAAAUCUGAGUAUUUACCAUCUGCAGAAAGAGAGAAGGGGAACCAGAGAGCAGGUAUUAGCUUUUUUUCCUCUGGUUCUAUUGCCAGAGGGCCAAGACAGGUAAUGGUUGCAGCUGUCUCCAGGAUAUGUGGGCAAACCUAUCAGAAUCCUUGCAUUGCUUUCAUUUCAGUGCAACUCUGCUCCUUACACCAAAUUCUUUUAGAAGAUCUAUAGACUGCUACUGCCUGCCCUUGCCUUUCCCUGUGUAAUUUUUGCAGGAGAAAUGGAUCAAUUUUGCUUGAUGUCUGCUGCUUUUAAAUCAGCUUCAACUGAUGUGAGACUCAAGUGGUGGCAGCUGGGAGACUGCUUAGCUUCAAGCAUGGCUGGAGUUGUUCUGUGACCCGAAGAAGAUGGCAGAAUGCCAUGCAUUAAGGGUGAUGGAAAAUAGCUGGUGGCAGUGGGGGACAGAAGAUGUCUGGAGGAGGUGGCUCAGGCUUUUGUCACAGUGUGAAGAGAGAUGUGACCUGCAGCAAGCUCUGUCCAUUGCCAGAGGCAUGGUGCUAUGUCCAUCCUGGAUGAGUUUUCCUGGCCUAUCUUCCCAGCUACCAGAAUGGCUGUACUGGAGAGGUGAAGACUGCACU